rnacentral:rRNA from 1 species
GCCAGCAGCCGCGGUAAUACAGAGAGUGCGAACGUUGUUCGGAAUUACUGGGCUUAAAGCGUACGUAGGCGGCGUAACAAGUGUCGGGUGAAAGCCCACGGCUCACCCGUGGAAUUGCCUGGCAAACUGUUAUGCUAGAGUGUGGUAGGGGAGAACAGAACUCAUGGUGGAGCGGUGAAAUGCGUAGAUAUCAUGAGGAAUACCGGUGGCGAAGGCGGUUCUCUGGUCCACAACUGACGCUGAGGUACGAAAGCUAGGGUAGCGAACGGGAUUAGAUACCCCGGUAGUCCUAGCCGUAAACGAUGGGUACUAGCUUGGGGGAUCCCUGUGUUCUUCCAGGUGAAGCAAAAGUGAUAAGUACCCCGCCUGGGGAGUAUGGUCGCAAGGCUGAAACUCAAAGGAAUUGACGGGG